UCCUACAGGAGCUGGAGUAAGCAGCUGAAUUUUCCCCAAACAGAGGUUUCAACUGUUCUAAAUUUCAAUAUAAGCAGCUGGUGUUCAGCAUUCAGAGUGGGUCAAGCCCCUCGUCUAGAAAAGGGAGAUCAGUAGAAGGACUCAAAGCUGUACUUGGUAUUUAUGAAUAACAGGUCUUUUAGCAACUGAACCACUGGAGGUGCAAAGGCUUUUGCGGCUUUCUGCAAGAGCUCCGCUCCACUUCCAGACAACAGCGGAUGUUUUGGGGAGUCUUAUUGAUUCACUGCAAGUCCAGAGGAUGGGAAGAAUAGAAAUGGCUUUGAUUUCAUUUUUUCAUUAAAAAGUCAGUUGUGAUCAACCUUAAAACUCAAAGAUUCUAGUUUUGAAGAAGUAAAAGCCCAGAGAAAUUGAUGUGGUCAAGACUGCCAAAAUUUCCAGAUGAGAUCUCUUCCAAAUACACCAGCAGACAAGGAAGGAGUCCCUGAGGUCUUAGAAGAGGGACCCUGGUUCAGGAACACUCAUUUCCUCUUAUAAAAAAAAAAGAAGGAGGAGGAGGAGGAGG